rnacentral:rRNA from 1 species
CAUAAUGCAGUCGAGCGGACAGAAGGGAGCUUGCUCCCGGAUGUUAGCGGCGGACGGGUGAGUAACACGUGGGUAACCUGCCUGUAAGACUGGGAUAACUCCGGGAAACCGGAGCUAAUACCGGAUAGUUCCUUGAACCGCAUGGUUCAAGGAUGAAAGACGGUUUCGGCUGUCACUUACAGAUGGACCCGCGGCGCAUUAGCUAGUUGGUGAGGUAACGGCUCACCAAGGCGACGAUGCGUAGCCGACCUGAGAGGGUGAUCGGCCACACUGGGACUGAGACACGGCCCAGACUCCUACGGGAGGCAGCAGUAGGGAAUCUUCCGCAAUGGACGAAAGUCUGACGGAGCAACGCCGCGUGAGUGAUGAAGGUUUUCGGAUCGUAAAGCUCUGUUGUUAGGGAAGAACAAGUGCAAGAGUAACUGCUUGCACCUUGACGGUACCUAACCAGAAAGCCACGGCUAACUACGUGCCAGCAGCCGCGGUAAUACGUAGGUGGCAAGCGUUGUCCGGAAUUAUUGGGCGUAAAGGGCUCGCAGGCGGUUUCUUAAGUCUGAUGUGAAAGCCCCCGGCUCAACCGGGGAGGGUCAUUGGAAACUGGGAAACUUGAGUGCAGAAGAGGAGAGUGGAAUUCCACGUGUAGCGGUGAAAUGCGUAGAGAUGUGGAGGAACACCAGUGGCGAAAGCGACUCUCUGGUCUGUAACUGACGCUGAGGAGCGAAAGCGUGGGGAGCGAACAGGAUUAGAUACCCUGGUAGUCCACGCCGUAAACGAUGAGUGCUGAGUGUUAGGGGGUUUCCGCCCCUUAUGCUGCAGCUAACUCACUAAUUACUCCGCCUGGCGGAUAGGUCGCCAGAGUGAAUCUCAACGAAUUGACGGAGCGCCGCCCAGCCCUGUAGCAGAGAUUUAGUCAAUCAAUGCGCAAAACAUUAUCUGCCGUGGGUCGACAGACAUCCAACACUGAUUGUUGCUCUUCCCGCAAAGAGGAAAA